ACCCAGAGGCUGUGUGGGAGGGAAGGCAUCACCCUUGCUGGAGGCUGGCGACAGCUGGUACUAUUCCCUGGUGCAAGCUCCUGAGGGAAGCAGGGCCACAGCUUUUUGGAAACACCCAUCUUGCCAUGUGCAAACAGGACCAGCUCAGAGUUGUGCCUGCAAUUCUCUCACUCCAGCCUCACCCUCCUGUGGAUCCCGUUUGCUGACUCUACACAGGUCCUGGGCUGGAGGGAAGACGGCCACCUAUGAACAAGGAAG